CUCUCGCUCUCUCUCCCACAGGGAGACGUGGGGAAGCUGGGCCCCCCGGGCCCCCCAGGAGAGAACGGAGCCAAGGGCUCGGGCGGCCUGCCAGGACCCAGGGGGCAGCCCGGGGAGCCCGGCGUGCGCGGGUUGGUCGGCUCCCGUGGCCCCCCCGGCCUACCAGGACAGCCGGGCGUGAGCGGCAUGGACGGCGCGUCUGGGCCCAAGGGCAACUUGGUGA